CCUACGGGUGGCAGCAGUGAGGAAUAUUGGUCAAUGGCCGAGAGGCUGAACCAGCCAAGUCGCGUGAGGGAAGACGGCCCUACGGGUUGUAAACCUCUUUUGUCGGGGAGCAAAGCGAGUCACGUGUGACUCAUUGAGAGUACCCGAAGAAAAAGCAUCGGCUAACCCCGUGCCGGCAGCCGCGGUAAUACGGGGGAUGCGGUCGUUAUCCGGAUUGAUUGGGUUUAACGGGUGAGCGGGCGGAGGGGAAAGUCAGCGGUCAAAUUGCGGGGCGCAACCCCGUACUGCCGUUGAAACUGCAUCCCUUGAGUGCGCGAGAAGUAGGCGGAAUGCGAGGUGUAGCGGUGAAAUGCAUAGAUAUCACGCAGAACUCCGAUUGCGAAGGCAGCAUACCGGCGCGCAACUGACGCUCAUGCACGAAAGCGUGGGUAUCGAACAGGAUUAGAUACCCCUGUAGUC
rnacentral:rRNA from 1 species